CGGCGACGGCGACGGCGACGACGAUCUUCUCCAUCGUUCGAUCGACCAACAGCGACUGAAAGGCGAUCGGCGAUCUAUUUUGUUGUUUUUUUUUUGCUCCAUUUUCUGAGAAUCUCAGAUCCCUUUCUUCGACUGAAAGAGGAUCGUCGCCGAUCGUAGUGGUGGUGACUCACCAUUGUUUCUGAAAGCAAAGAGGUGGUGAGAGUCAGAGUGAAGAAGCUUACAGACAGGCAGUUCGAAAACCAGAGAGAAGAAGCUUACAUCAGUUUGAAAACCAAAGAGUUUUGAAAGCAAAGAGAUUGUGAGAUUAGAGUGUGAGGGUUCUACAUAGAGAGAGAGAGAGA